rfam:Marchantia polymorpha subsp. polymorpha scaffold4273, whole genome shotgun sequence.
CGUCUGUGAUGAUAACAUUAAGGCUUGUUUCUCAAACAUUCGCAGUGGCCGCCCUAGAGUUUUCGCCUCGCCGGGCUUGAGAAUUGAUGCGGUUUUAUCCUUCCUUGGAUGUCUGAGACG